rnacentral:misc_RNA from 1 species
GAAGUAAAAGUUGUAACAAGGUCUCCGUUGGUGAACCAGCGGAGGGAUCAUUACAGGACUCGCAAGACUCCUACAACCCUGUGAACUUAACUAUAAGCACGUUGCUUCGGCGGGUGUCUCGGAGGGGGUUCUCCCUCCCCGAGACGCUAAACCCGCCGGCAGCCUACUAUACUCUGUCUCUUUGCGUUGGCAUCUCGAGUACAAUCAAACAAGUUAAAACUUUCAACAACGGAUCUCUUGGUUCUG